rnacentral:lncRNA from 1 species
ACGCAGAAAUUGCAGUUCUUGGCAGUGAUCUUGGAAGUGAUGAAACCCAGAAAACGCUAGAUUUGGCUGGAACUGUUGUUGUUUCACUCUCAGCUAACCAUCUUCAAAAGUUGCGUUUUUCUUUUCAGUUGACAACCACCUACCACUGACCUGCCAUCAUUCAAGGAACCUGCAUCAAGCCAACAUCUAACCUAACUAAUAUCAUGCUCAGACUAACACCAGAUGUAAAUGGCUUACCACAUCCUCUAGCCAAAACCAAACAUAUCCUGCAGUAUGUGAGAGACACCAACUCAACAUAUAUUCAUGAACCUCCAUACUUCAAAGGCAUGACCAUGGAUCCUCCUGGACCUCAUGGUGUGAAAGAUGCUUAUUGCCUGCUGAAUUUUGGUGACAGUAUAACAACUGAUCACAUUUCUCCUGCUGGAAACAUUAACAGGGACAGUCCUGCUCACGGUACACCACAUCACCUAGCCAAAGCCUCCAACCUGCCAUCAGACAACAAACUGCAGCAUACAAUAACAUCCUAAGCUACAAUGCAGUCCAGUACAACAACCUGCAAUUCCAAGCUUGCACAAGCAAACCAGUUUAGAACCAGGAACAAGGUGUGCUGCAGAAUUGAGCAACAAAGAGUGCAAGUUUUCUUACCGACUCCAAGGCUUUCUGGAGAGUAAGAAUUGAAGCAGCAUUUGCAUUGGCGAAUUCGGCAUCCGAGGAAACUGAUUUUUCUGGUCUACUCCAUUUGGUGAAAUUUUUACAAGAAUCGAAGAUUUGAUUCUGACAUUGCACCUCCAAAGCCAUUGAACCUCAACCAAACCAACUGAGUUUUCUAAAAAAAUUCACUGCAGUAAAAAGUGGAGAGUUACUCAAAGCAGUAAAAUUCAAAAUCCAGAAAUUCCCAAAUGGGAAUUAAAACAAAAACAGAGAGGAAUGCUCAGAUGCUCAGAUUACCUGUCUCAAAUCCAUACAUCGAAGGGGUCAAUCCAGUUUCUGAACAUCAAAAGUGCUUUGCAGAGUUACUCUUCUGGAUUACCAAAGGCACCUUUGAAACC